rnacentral:tRNA from 1 species
GGACUUAUAACUCAGUUGGUUAGAGUGUCGUACUAAUAUAAUGCGAAAGUCCACAGUUCGAGCCUGUGUUGGUCCA